UCAGGUAAGUGUUUGUAAAUAAAUGUUAAUUUUAGACUAUAUUAAUUGGCAAAGACGCAAAUACUCGACGUUUUUGUAAACAUAUAAGUUAUAUAAAGGUGUGUUAUGUUAUGUGACCGACUUAAAGUGUGUGUUAUGUUAUGUGUCCGAGUUAAAGUGGAGCUAUUUUAGUUAAGAUAAUACCGGACAGGGUUUAGGACUCCGUCUUAAUUAUAAUUGGGACAUUUUUACAAACAAACCUUAUAAAAUACAAUACUAGUGUGCAUUUUGAGACAAAACAAUAGCACUCAUAUGUUAACAGAUGUCAGUAUUUUAGUCAGUGAUAAGUCCUGUCCGAGAAAACCGCCCAAUAGUGUUUAAUUCAAUUACGUGUGAUGUCUGAGGGAAACUUGGCAAUUUUAGGGUAUAAAAUCUUUCACCGUCAAGCUUUAUUAUAUUAAACAUGUUAUUUAUGUAUGUGUGUGUGUUUAUAUUCCUCUGUUUAUUAAACCAGAGCGGUGAUGAUGAGAGGCAGAGACCACCACCAUACUCGAAGAUGAGCCUCGAGGCGUGACAGUUAUUUUUUCAAACUGAGGAGUUCGGACUCCGGACCGUCAUUUCUGCUUGUUGGUACCCUGAGAUAACCAUGGUUAAUAAAUGGUCAGACACGUCACUGGCUUUAAAAUAUAAACCCCAUUGAUGCAAAAAGAUGCUGCAUGGAAUGACAAUGUGGUUUGGAACAGACUUGGUGAAGAACAUGGAAACAUCUCUUAAUAAAAUGGCCCCAAACAUCAUCAGGAGUGCAAAAGAAGGAAGUAAAAACAUCUCUACUCCAAUCUCAUUGGAGAGGAAACCACAGAAGGUCUGGUGAGGAAUGCUGCACUUAUGUUAUUGCAAGCAUUAUUUCAAGAAAAUCCCAGCUUCCUUUACUGUGUAAAUAGUGAACCCAAAGGUCCCACACCAACCAUAGUGUUCAACGGCUCUCCUGAUCUUUUCAAAUCUGAAUGUAUCAACUUUAUAAUGGACAAUGUGAACUUAAUAUGUGGAAGACAUUGACAUCACAGGCUGUGGAAUGACUGUGUCACAGGUCGGAGAAGCGGACCGCCCCUGUCGCGGAUCACGCUCCUCCUAGUUCCACCUCGAGGAGGUCCCAAAGCACCCCAAUGACCAGACAAACCAGAGGGGGAGUAUUACGGGGCCAGGGACGUUGGAGGGGUUUCCACGUGACUCCAGCUGGAACACCGCUACAGAGCGUAUCUGGGUGGGUUGGGCACACACCGUCGCGGCGGCCCCUGAUGGCAUCCACAAGGGUCCAAGACCCUCCUAAGCUCCUAGCCGUAGCAGAACUACGUAUUUCAGCACCCGAAGGACUAACAACCCAGCCGGCAUCUGCAGCGUAUAUCCAACGCGAUCAAACUUCACUCUGACAAGUAACUUCCUAUACACAACCACGCCGUCCUUUCGCCCGGACCAGCCCCGCACUCUUUCCGCCCGCUACCUAGCGGUCGCCGGAUCAGCAGAGCCUGCGGACUCUUCGGAGGCUGGUCUUCGUUGUGCUGCCCAAGGCGGAAGUUGACUCGCCCGAAAAUCGACCCUUUCAGUAACUUCUACCUUCUCUCUUUAUAUCCUCCUCCCAGGCGUGGCGAGCCUGGGAGGAGGAUAUAACAGCUGUGCCUUGUUUCAGCGAGUGCGGGGAUUCCCGGGGAACCCUGAAGUGCCGGUGUCUGUACAAACCGGUCCGGGCGGAACCUCUUCACUCUCCUUUUGGUUCCGCCCCGCAUAGUCACUCCGUGACAACUGUUUGCGUUUUUUUUUUCUCCUCAAUGUUCAAUACCCUUUUGCCAUUAAGCACACAGUGACUUUAAUUUAUAAAAUAUAUGCUUAAGUUUUAAUACCUGUACAAAACAAAUGUACAAUCAACUUGUGUAAAUUGUCAUUCUAUUUAAUAGAUUGUUCAUGAAUUGUCUUUAAAUGCAUUGUGAUUUCGGUAACACUUUACAAUGAAGUUCAUUAGUUAACAUUAGUUAAUGUAUUAACUAACUUGAACAAACCAUAAGCAAUACAUUUGUUACAGUAUUUAUUCAUCUUUGUUAAUGUUAGUUAAUAAAAAUUUAAGCUUUAAUUGCUUGUUCAUGUUAGUUCAGAGUGCAUUAACUAAUGUUAACAAGAUUUUAAUAAAGUAAUUGUUGAAAUUAACAUUAACAAAGAUUAAUAAAGGCUGUAUAAGUGCAGUUCAUUAUUAGUUCAUGUUAACUAAUGUAGCUAACUAAUGUUAACUAAUGAACCUUAUUGUAAAGUGUUACCGUGAUUUCUUUUCAUCAUUUCAGACACAUGUAAAAGUUACUAAAAAUUAGUAGCCUACUGCAUAUACUGUACAGUAUCUAUGCGUAAGGGAAAUAACUUAAACAAAAUUUUUAAUGUAUAGUGUAAUUAAGAGUUUAGCUGUUUAAUACAGAGAUGCAAUUUAUUUAUAUAUAUUAUUUAUAUAUAAACGUAUGUAUGUUUAUUAAAAAGUGAAAAUGCUUAAUGGAAAUAAUUAAAUAACUAAAUGGUUGAAUGUAAUGAGACAUUUUAAAUGUAAACUAAAGUUUUGCUGUCUAAUACAGAAUAAAGAGAUGUGAUUUUAAGUAA